UGAACGCUGGCGGCGCGCUUAAUGCAUGCAAGUCGCGCGUGUCCGUGGCUUCGGCCACAUAUGGAAAAGCGGCAGACGGCUGAGUAACGCGUGAGUAACCUGCCCUCUGGUGGGGUAUAGCCACGAGAAAUCGUGAUUAAUCCCGCAUAAKAUCUCUUUACCUUGGUAUUGAGAUGAAAGCCUUCGGGCGCCGGAGGAGGGGCUCGCGUCCUAUCAGGUUGUUGGUGAGGUAAUGGCUCACCAAGCCUAUGACGGGUAGCUGGUCUGAGAGGACGACCAGCCAGAGGGGGACUGAGACMCGGCCCCCACUCCUACGGGAGGCAGCAGCAGGGAAUCUUGGGCAAUGGGCGAAAGCCUGACCCAGCGACGUCGCGUGGAGGAAGAAGGCUUUUGGGCUGUAAACUCCUUUUCCAAGGGAAGAGAAAGGACGGUACCUUGGGAAUAAGCUCCGGCUAACUACGUGCCAGCAGCCGCGGUAAUACGUAGGGAGCGAGCGUUACCCGGAAUUACUGGGCGUAAAGUGCGCGUAGGCGGCUUGGUAAGUCUCUUGUGAAAGCUCCUGGCUUAACUGGGAGAGGUCAAGGGAAACUAUCUAGCUAGAGGGCAGCAGAGGAAAGCGGAAUUCUCGGUGUAGCGGUGAAAUGCGUAGAUAUCGAGAGGAACACCAGUGGCGAAGGCGGCUUUCUGGGCUGUACCUGACGCUGAGGCGCGAGAGCGUGGGGAGCAAACAGGAUUAGAUACCCUGGUAGUCCACGCCCUAAACGAUGAAUGCUAGGUAUAGGGGGUAUCGACCCCUCCUGUGCCGCAGCUAACGCGAUAAGCAUUCCGCCUGGGGACUACNGCCGCAAGGCUAAAAC
rnacentral:rRNA from 1 species